AUUGAACGCUGGCGGAAUGCUUUACACAUGCAAGUCGAACGGUAGAGGGGGCAACCCCUCGAGAGUGGCGAACGGGUGAGUAAUAUAUCGGAACGUGCCCAGUCGUGGGGGAUAACGUAGCGAAAGUUACGCUAAUACCGCAUACGAUCUAAGGAUGAAAGCGGGGGAUCGCAAGACCUCGCGCGAUUGGAGCGGCCGAUAUCUGAUUAGCUUGUUGGCGGGGUAACGGCCCACCAAGGCAACGAUCAGUAGGGGUUCUGAGAGGAAGGUCCCCCACAUUGGAACUGAGACACGGUCCAAACUCCUACGGGAGGCAGCAGUGAGGAAUAUUGGUCAAUGGGCGGAAGCCUGAACCAGCCAAGUAGCGUGCAGGAUGACGGCCCUAUGGGUUGUAAACUGCUUUUAUACAGGAAUAAAGUUAGCCACGUGUGGUUAUUUGUAGGUACUGUAUGAAUAAGGACCGGCUAAUUCCGUGCCAGCCGCCGCCGUAACAC
rnacentral:rRNA from 1 species